rnacentral:lncRNA from 1 species
GCUUCAUUUUGGCUUGAUGGACACAAUUUUUGGCUCUACACAGACGUUUGUAAUGCAGUCUCCCGUGUCUUACAUGAACAGAAUCAGACUCAGAUCUGUCAGACAGACAUCGCACCAGGAAAUUAUAUAAGAAAGGACCCUAUUCUAUCUUUAUUUUUCCACCAAAUUUCACCUUCAAACGCAGACAUUUGUGUACAUUUCAGUAAUUCCGGCAAUAAACUCUCAAGGAGAAACGAAUGGCGUCCACCAAGCCGGAGAUCAGCAUAUGGAGUUUGCUGCUCUUCAGAGACCACAGCUCCAGCGCCGGCACCUGGUGAGAAAUCCCAUGGCUGAGGGAGCAGUGAGCAUGAAGUCCAGCCCAUUCUUCUAGGUUCUGCCCUCAAAUGCAAGCCCAGGAAUUCGCUGAACUCAACAGAUCCUGUUACCAGGACUGAAGGAAGAAUAAGGUCCACUACUAGUAGGUAUUUUUUGUAUUGUUUUACAUGAUACAAACAUGUUUUAAACAGUGCACAUCCUAACAUAUAUACCUCCUGAUGAACAUGCAGU